AAUAAUUGACAUAAAAUUUCUAAACACUUUACAAAACUUUUGUUAAAAUUAAAUGGUAACUGGAGAACAAUGUUAAGGUGAUCAUUAAAAUAGAAAAAUGCUUUACGAUGGAUUAUUAUGAUAGUGAUGUCUCACUGCCAAAAUAUAGCAUGUUUACAGAUCCUUGUAUAAAAUAUGCAUAUUAAUAUAAAACACUUCUAUAAGAAUUAACACCGAUGAAUGAAAAUGCUAGUUAUUAGUAUGCAGGUUAGAAGAUUUAAGUAGGGUUAUUUUGUGCUAUUCAGAAAAAAGUCUUUUACAUUUUGCAUUAUCUUAAAAGAACAAGAAGAUAUAGAUUAAGAAUGAGGCAUCACUUACAGAAAAUAUUGUUACGCAUUGUUUCCUUGGCAAGACGUGUGUGUAAUCUUGCAGUAAAAUUUUUAAAUAGGACAGGCAAUACUCUGAGUUGAUUUAAGAGGUGUCUGAAAUGAAGGAUAGGGGAUGAGCUCAGAGAAACUGCAAAUUGCAAUUUUCUUUUUUUAAAGGAAGAAUUAAUAAAUCCUAGCUAUCAAAUCUCUUCCUAUCUGAACACAGGAACCUAAUGGACUAGAAUAAGUGGUAGCUAAACUCUCAUAAUCUGGACUCAGGAACAAAACUGAGUAAGAUAAUACAGGAUACUUAUGUCUUAUUACAGAUUAAGCAAAAUUGAAAGGAGAAAGGAGCCUAAGAAAACCAGUCUCAUUUUGUCAAGUGCAGAGCAUUCCUCUGUCUCCUGGGCACGCAGCUAGACCAUUUACCUCAACCUGCCUUGAAGACCAACCCCUCCAGGCUUUCUCUAGCCAGGCUCUCCCUGGCACCCGUGAAACGCUGCAUGAAAGGGGCAGAAGGACUGAAAUUCAUUUAAAUGGAGUCAUUUUGCACAUGUGACCCGGCUUGAUGUGAAGCUAUCUAUCAGAGCCUUCCAGAAACUGCCAAGCUCAACCACUUGGAAAAUAGACAGCAAGGCAGAAACUCAUCAAGAAAACGCAAAUUUUUCUUUAGUGUGCUCAGAGAUGCAAGGUUGAGAAAUAUUUUCCUAACAUCUCAGCUUACUGUGGAACACUCUCUGAAAAUGCCAGGUAACGAGACAUCACUUUAUUUAAAAAGAAAGUUCAUAUUUGUACAUAUUCUCUGCCAUCCUGGGCCAUUCUGAGAAGUAAGCAUUUUUUAAAUAACUAGUGUAAUGUGUUUCCAUUAGAUUUCGGGUUUUCCAAAGAGUUUCCAUCUUAGUCUUGUCAUAUUGUUUUCAGUUAGGAGAUGAUGGGAUUGAUGAAGGUGAAAUCCCAGGGGUCACACAAUCUUGAAAUGACUAACUUUGUUGUCUACGCAGAGUCAUUGCCAGAGCCAGAAAUGAAGUCCAGUUUCCCCAAGACCUGCCUCCUUUGUUGCUGCUGCCUUCUCAUGUGAAAAGGCACAAGGCCACGCAUCUUCUUUUGGAGCAGGAGGCCCGUCUGAUGCAGUCUGAGAAACGGUGUCAACAGGGGUUCCUGUUAUGCCAACGUCUGGGAAACUGCAUCUUCUAUCAAGAGCCCAGGAUGCUGGUCUCUGAGUGGACCAUUUUGUCUCUGGAAAAACUGGGAAGUCAUCAUAACAUAAUCAAAUACAAUAUCCUGAGAUUAAAAAAAAA